rnacentral:lncRNA from 10 species
GUUGCCUGGAAUUAAGAUUUGUAGAAGAGAAGCCUGAGGUCAUUCUCAUUUUUGUUCCUUUAUGGUUCUCAGUGCCUCAUGAGCGCAGGAUUCUGGUGACCCCAUGAGUCAUGGGAACUCGUGAGACUCAAAGCAAGUACAAGAAUGACAAAGCAAGUAAAAAUCACCAUAGGAAGUCAAGAAAAAGACACCAACAGAAGAAAGAAAAAACCCUUUAAGGGAACUUCUUCCUGCUUUUUGAACUAGGGACUUCACAUAUUUCUUUUGCAUUGGGCCC